GACCUGCAUAACGCGAAGAACCUUACCAGCUCUUGACAUCCUACUCACCGGAUCUUGUAAUGAGGUCCUUCAGUUCGGCUGGAGUAGAGACAGAUGCUGCAUGGCUGUCGUCAGCUCGUGUCGUGAGAUGUUGGGUUAAGUCCCGCGACGAGCGCAACCCCUGUCUUUAGUUACCAUCAUUCAGUUGGGGACUCUAGAGAGACUGCCGGUGAUAAACCGGAGGAAGGUGGGGAUGACGUCAAAUCAUCAUGCCCCUUAUGACUUGGGCAACACACGUACUCANAAUGGCAAUUACAAAGGGAAGCGAAGUAGUGAUAUGGAGCGAAACCCAGAAAGGUUGUCUCAGUUCGGAUUGAAGUCUGCAACUCGACUUCAUGAAGUUGGAAUCGCUAGUAAUCGCGGAUCAGCAUGCCGCGGUGAAUACGUUCUCGGGUCUUGUACACACCG
rnacentral:rRNA from 1 species